UUGUACCCCGCCUCCGAUUCA
rnacentral:siRNA from 1 species